rnacentral:misc_RNA from 1 species
AAAAUAUUUGAAUUACUUAAUAAACCAGAUGAAUCAGAGAACAUCAGUUUUCAAGUUCAUGCAAAUUCAUAUUACAGGAUCAACCUUAUGAAGGACAAUAUACUUUAACAGUCUUCAAUGAACAUAUAGUAGUAAUUAGUUCGCAUACUACUAUUUACAUGCUAUGGCAGAAAGAUUGGAAAAUGGUACCUCUGUAUCUGUGCUUUUA